UACAGAGGUCCCAAGCGUUGGUCGGAUUCACUGGGCGUAAAGGGUGCGUAGGUGGCCAGGUAAGUUCGAUGUGAAAUCUCCGGGCUUAACCCGGAAAGUGCAUUGAAUACUAUCUGGCUAGAGGGUUGGAGGGGAGACUGGAAUUCUCGGUGUAGCAGUGAAAUGCGUAGAUAUCGAGAGAAACACCAGUGGCGAAGGCGAGUCUCUGGACAACUCCUGACACUGAGGCACGAAAGCUAGGGGAGCAAACAGG
rnacentral:rRNA from 1 species